rnacentral:lncRNA from 1 species
UUUAAUCUAAUACAGCAGCGACUUGUGGAGCACAAACGAGACAUUAGGACUGGAAAAAUGACAACAACGCUUGCAGAACAGGCAUAUGCGGAUGACGUAACAAUAGAUUGGGAUAGAGCGCAAAUAGUCAAACCGAUUUACAGCUCCAAAACAGCCAUUAUGCAAGAGACACUGGAGAUAUUGACUAGAAGAAAAAAGCAGAACAUCAUAAACGACAGACCCAUGACUGAUUUACCGGAAGCUUGGACUUUUUUAUUGAAGAAGAACGGAAAAAUAUAAUUGACCACCCUCUGAAACACGAAACUUUAUUUUAAUUUUAUUGUGUUUUAUUAAUGUAUUCGAUGAGUUAUAUUUUUAUAAUUUAUUUUAUUUACUUAAUAUUUAAACUUAUUAUAAGCAUAUUUAACAACCGUUUAAGUUAUAAUCUAAUUUAAAUUUGUGUUUAUUGCAUUCGAUAUUCUAUGUUCUUUUAUGUUUUUCACUGUGAAUUCUAUUCCAUGUAUGUAAGCCUGAGGAUGACAAUGGCUAGUUGUCAGAAAUGUUAGCGGUAAUAAACUGUCCCUGUCUAACUGCAAUAAGCGCUGGUGUGUUCGUAUGCAUAGGUCUAGAGAAAAAAGCU